UGGGGAAUUUUGGACAAUGGGCGAAAGCCUGAUCCAGCAAUGCCGCGUGUGUGAAGAAGGCCUUCGGGUUGUAAAGCACUUUUGUCCGGAAAGAAAUCCUCUGGGUUAAUACCUCGGGGGGAUGACGGUACCGGAAGAAUAAGCACCGGCUAACUACGUGCCAGCAGCCGCGGUAAUACGUAGGGUGCAAGCGUUAAUCGGAAUUACUGGGCGUAAAGCGUGCGCAGGCGGUUUUGUAAGACGGAUGUGAAAUCCCCGGGCUUAACCUGGGAACUGCAUUCGUGACUGCAAGGCUAGAGUAUGGCAGAGGGGGGUAGAAUUCCACGUGUAGCAGUGAAAUGCGUAGAGAUGUGGAGGAAUACCGAUGGCGAAGGCAGCCCCCUGGGCCAAUACUGACGCUCAUGCACGAAAGCGUGGGGAGCAAACAGGAUUAGGAUACCCUGGUAGUCCACGCCCUAAACGAUGUCAACUAGUUGUUGGGGAUUCAUUUCCUUAGUAACGUAGCUAACGCGUGAAGUUGACCGCCUGGGGGAGUACGGUCGC
rnacentral:rRNA from 1 species